rnacentral:rRNA from 1 species
UACGUAGGGGGCAAGCGUUGUCCGGAUUCAUUGGGCGUAAAGAGCGUGUAGGCGGCCAGGUAGGUCGGUUGUGAAAACUGGAGGCUCAACCUUCAGAGGUCGACCGAAACCAUCUGGCUAGAGUCCGGGAGAGGAGAGUGGAAUUCCUGGUGUAGCGGUGAAAUGCGUAGAUAUCGGGAGGAACACCAGUGGCGAAGGCGACUACCUGGCCUGUUCUUGACGCUGAGGCGCGAAAGCUAGGGGAGCAAACGGG